rnacentral:rRNA from 1 species
GAUGAACGCUGGCGGCGUGCCUAAUACAUGCAAGUCGAGCGAACGGAUGAGAAGCUUGCUUUUCUGAUGUUAGCGGCGGACGGGUGAGUAACACGUGGAUAACCUACCUAUAAGACUGGGAUAACUUCGGGAAACCGGAGCUAAUACCGGAUAAUAUUUUGAACCGCAUGGUUCAAUAGUGAAAGACGGUCUUGCUGUCACUUAUAGAUGGAUCCGCGCUGCAUUAGCUAGUUGGUAAGGUAACGGCUUACCAAGGCAACGAUGCAUAGCCGACCUGAGAGGGUGAUCGGCCACACUGGAACUGAGACACGGUCCAGACUCCUACGGGAGGCAGCAGUAGGGAAUCUUCCGCAAUGGGCGAAAGCCUGACGGAGCAACGCCGCGUGAGUGAUGAAGGUCUUCGGAUCGUAAAACUCUGUUAUUAGGGAAGAACAUAUGUGUAAGUAACUGUGCACGUCUUGACGGUACCUAAUCAGAAAGCCACGGCUAACUACGUG